AUAAAACCGCCAUGUUUCGAAACCAACAUAUAAAUCUUAUUGAUAAACCCAAUCAAAAACACACGUCUCCGUGACUGUGGACUUCUUGUCAGUUUACUUGUGAAGUUUUGUUUUGACGUUUGGAUUUGGUAUCGAAUAAUCCAGAUAGUUAUUCAAAAUGGCUACACCACGAACAGACGGCGUCUUUUUGGGCGAUUGGAAGGAUAUUUGUUUAUCUCUAAGGGAUCACACCGAAGAAAUUGGCACUUAUCAAAUCGUAGGGCAAACAACGAACAGACCAUUGGAACUGGGAUCAAGUGGCUAACGUUGAACCGGUAAUUUCUUUUUUAUUAUUCAUUUGUCAGGAAGUCGGUAGUGAAAUCAAUCAAAAGUUGUGACCGCCACUGACUGACGUAAUUCAUUUUUGCCUUAAUUUAAAGGAUUGCCGUUUUACUGUUAACAACCAAGUACAAAUUUGUUAAAAUAAAUAUUAUUUUUAUAAUAAAUUCUUGUAUCUUUCAUAAACAAACA